GGGUGACGAGCGGCGGACGGGUGAGUAGUCUAGGAACUGCCUGAUGGAGGGGGAUAACUACUGAAACGGUAGCUAAUACCGCAUAACGUCGCAAGACCAAAGAGGGGGACCUUCGGGCCUCUUGCCAUCAGAUGUGCCCAGAUGGGAUUAGCUAGUAGUGGGGUAACGGCUCACCUAGGCGACGAUCCCUAGCUGGUCUGAGAGGAUGACCAGCCACACUGGAACUGAGACACGGUCCAGACUCCUACGGGAGGCAGCAGUGGGGAAUAUUGCACAAUGGGCGCAAGCCUGAUGCAGCCAUGCUGCGUGUAUGAAGAAGGCCUUCGGGUUUGUAAAAGUACUUUCAGGGGGGAGGAAAGGUGUUGNGGUUUAUUAACCAACAAGGCAAAUUUGGGACGGUUUUACCCCGGCAAGAAAGAAAAGGCACCGGGGUUAAAACUUCCCGGUGGCCCCAAGCAAAGCCCGGGGGGAAAUAAACCGGGGAGGGGGGCAAAGGUUAAAAACCCGGGAAGUUAACCAGGGGGGGAUAAAAAAAGGCCACACACGCCAGGGGGUCUCUGGCCAAAUUCCCGGUAUUGUGGGAAAAAACCCCCCCCGGGG
rnacentral:rRNA from 1 species